CAGUCGCCGCGGUAACACGAAGGGGGCUAGCGUUGUUCGGAAUUACUGGGCGUAAAGCGCACGUAGGCGGAUAUUUAAGUCAGGGGUGAAAUCCCGCAGCUCAACUGCGGAACUGCCUUUGAUACUGGGUAUCUUGAGUAUGGAAGAGGUUAGUGGAAUUGCGAGUGUAGAGGUGAAAUUCGUAGAUAUUCGCAGGAACACCAGUGGCGAAGGCGGCUAACUGGUCCAUAACUGACGCUGAGGUGCGAAAGCGUGGGGAGCAAACAGGAUUAGAUACCCCUGUAGUCCCUGUCUCUUAUAC
rnacentral:rRNA from 1 species